AAUAUAACGUAACCCCCCGCUCCUCUCAGCUUUGGAUGUCUUCCCACCGGCCCGCGGUAGGAGCCACUCUGGGAGUGACCGACAGCCCCGAGCCCCUCCUGACGUGAGCUGCCCGGGGAGGAGUCGCUCACCCCUCGCGGCGGAGCAGGGGUGAUGCCUGCCCUUUGCAAAACACGGCCAAGCAACCGGCUGGCUCCGCUCUGCAGCCCGACCUCCCCUGGAUGCAUUCCUCUGCCCUUCAGUCUUUCACCGUAUUCGGUUCUUUUUAAAGCACCCAUGGCUGGAUCGUCUCAAUAGGAAUUGGUUCAUCAGCGACGCACCUGCUGGGCAAGUCAAAAAACAAAUUGCCUCGAAUGGACUUCUCUGACUGCAUCUUGAUGCGUAUUCAUCCCUCCACGUUCACUGCCUCCCAUAUCCUUACUUGCUGCAGAGUGAUGGGGGAACAGCCAGCCUCACCUGCAGGCAAUGUAUUACAGUGUGCACAAAAAACCGUAUUACCAUGCACAGCGCUGCCUCGUUUCGUGGCAAAUAUGGGGAAAUAGUUGUGCAAACCAGUUGUGCGUAUGGAAACUAUCACUCCAAAACCUUGGCUAACUUCGCUGGAACACCAAAAGGCCCAUCACCUCUCCAAGGACUAUUUUCCUAUAGAGUUUCAGCCUUUUCUUACCCCCACCCGUUUUGACACCAGAGCUGUUCAAAAGAGUCUAUGAUGACUUUUUUUUCCCUUAAGGUGAAGGGAGAAUAUUUUCCCUGUCUACAAGAAUAGCUGUUACCUACACAUUUAAAUGAAAUUAAUCUGGGGCAGCAAGCUGGUCUGGAAAACUUCAAGAUCAGAGGCUGAAAGUUUCAGCAGAUAAUUAGCAUCUGAAAAUAGAGCUGUUAAACAGGAAUAGGUUGACUUAAAUAUUCCAGAUAUAUAUCGCAAUGAAGAACUAGGGGAAAAUAACUCUUUAUUCCCAGUUGAAUAACGAUAUAUAUCCCAACGAAGAACUUGAGGGAAAAGUACUCUCUGACGAAUACUACCACAUUAUUAUGGAUCAGAGCCUGAGGAAGGGCAGUGACUGCAAUAGCUCCAGCAGUCUCUGUCUGGUGGAUUUUAGGUACUUUUAUGCGCUUUCAUUUAUAUCAUUGAAGCAUGUCUUACUCUUCAGCAUUCUUAAUCAGCAUAUCUGAAUUAGAAAGGACUAUUUUUCCCUUUUACAGAUAGGGAGCUCUAGGACAGGGAUACUGAGAUGCAAGCCCUCAGAGGUAUUUUGGUACCUAAUUCAAAGGAGAGUCUAGUACUUCUGUGCUUCCAGAGGUCUGGGACUAACCAGCUUUCACAAGGUCACGUAGCCAUUCUGCGACUGCAAAUUACCUUGGGUCUCCAGAGUCCUGCACUUGUGCUUUAAUAACUUGACAUGUUUCCUCCUGUUAUGACAACUUCCCCUGCAUUCAGUGUGCAUUUUUGCUGAGCAAGGGAGUGGGACCGUGAGCAAAUAAAUAACACCCCGUCUGGAGCCCUGCAGCGAGCUCCCCGUGAGCUCCCCGGGGUCAGCAGGGAUCCAUGCCAGCAAUGCAGCGUCCCAGCACAAAUUUGGCUCCGGACUGGGAAGUGUGCACUUACAUUAUGGUCAGAUAAGCACAUGGGAUCCCUCUGUGGCAUGUUUCUGCCUCUGACGCCUUGGGCCAUGACCAAAACGCCUCGUCCACUGCAGUGCGAAGUCUUCUUGGCUGAGCAAUAAGCUGGGAGCCUGUGGUCAUGUACCCUGCCUUCGCUGACCGUGCUGGCUGCGUGCCGCCAUCCUUGCCUGACCACAUCCGUAAUUUGGCAUUAGCGCCUCAGACCUCCUUCUUCGUCCCUGUCACCUUCAAGAACAGUGUAAAGAGCUGCACUUCACGGGGGGAUAGCUCUUCUUCCCUCGGACACUUAAAAUAGUAUGAAAGUCUUAAGUUCUACAGCUUGACCUCGUGACAACAGAUUUUCAAAUAAAUAGUUUGGGUGUUUUGGAAUUGAGCCCUUCACAAACCUUCCUGAAACUCCAAGGAUUUAUUUCUGAUGUUGGUUCUUGAGAAUCACACCUUCAACCUUCAAUGCACAAAAAUGGCUCUUUUGUUAGAGGAUUUAACUGCUGCUUAGAUUCAUUAGCAAAGGUAUUUUUGGCCUAAUUAGCCUUCUAAUUUCUGUGUUAUCCCUUGUAGGAAUAUGCCCUCAGAAAUUAGUAAAAUGGUUUAUAAUAUAUGCUAAUCACUGUAAUCUGAUUUGUCUUUAAUUAUAUAUGUAAUGGGGAAACUAAUUGGAAAGUGAAGGGUAUUCUGCAAAGGGCCAAAAUAUGUAAGUCAGGAAAAGAACAGCAUAUUGUCAUUAAACAACCAAGAAAAAUGCUUUCCAGUAUACGGAAGAAUAUUAGUGUCCUGUAGCAGGAAUAUUGAGUUGCCUAACUUCUUUUUGAGCUUCUCAUUGUACAAAACUUGUUCGUAAAUGCAAUGACAAAUCAAGUCUUGUCCUUACAACACUCGCCUGGGCUGAAAUGGAAUAUUUAUUACCAGGACAAAAUAAUGGAGAAGUUAUUUACAGAAUAGGAGGCAAACUAUAAAUUAAAGGUGCAAAGAAUAAUAGUAAGUUUCAAAUGAAAUUUUCCUAGUUUUGACAUUUCCUCAUUGCAAGAAUCAUAUCACUGUAUCCUGAAGUUUCCUCUGUAUUUGAAAAAUAGUUUGGGCUGGUAGAUCUUUUAGCAACUUUGUAGCGUGUUUUUCCCCUUUUCAAGAGUUUAAUUGAUAAUGAUAGAAAAAUAGCAAUUUCCUGGGCAUUUAUUAUUUCUGCUCUUAAAAAGUGCACUUUGCAUGAGCUACAGUCAAAUUCUAUCCAUGCUUUAAAUGUUGUAGUGUAAUGUGACUUUGCAGAGCGGAAAGAGAGAGAGAAAAGAAAUUACAGGUAUUCUAUAAAGAUAUCAGAAGGGAAUCAUUUAAAAAUAUCUUAUUACACAAAAAGACAUAGAUUAGUAAAAAAACGAAGAUGUAGCUAUCCAUUGUUUUUAAAAUAAAUAUUUGAAAGGA